UACGUAGGGGGCAAGCGUUGUCCGGAAUUAUUGGGCGUAAAGCGCGCGCAGGCGGCUUCUUAAGUCAGGUGUGAAAGCCCACGGCUCAACCGUGGAGGGCCAUCUGAAACUGGGGAGCUUGAGUGCAGGAGAGGAGAGCGGAAUUCCACGUGUAGCGGUGAAAUGCGUAGAGAUGUGGAGGAACACCAGUGGCGAAGGCGGCUCUCUGGCCUGUAACUGACGCUGAGGCGCGAAAGCGUGGGGAGCAAACAGGAUUAGAUACCCUGGUAGUCCACGCCGUAAACGAUGAGUGCUAGGUGUUGGGGAGUUCACCUCCUCAGUGCCGCAGCUAACGCAAUAAGCACUCCGCCUGGGGAGUACGGCCGCAAGGCUGAA
rnacentral:rRNA from 1 species